rnacentral:rRNA from 1 species
AGCAGUCGCCGCGGGAAUACGAAGGGUGCAAGCGUUAAUCGGGAUUACUGGGCGUAAAGCGCACGCAGACGGUUUGUUAAGUCAGAUGUGAAAUCCCCGAGCUUAACUUGGGAACUGCAUUUGAAACUGGCAAGCUAGAGUCUUGUAGAGGGGGGUAGAAUUCCAGGUGUAGCGGUGAAAUGCGUAGAGAUCUGGAGGAAUACCGGUGGCGAAGGCGGCCCCCUGGACAAAGACUGACGCUCAGGUGCGAAAGUGUGGGGAGCAAACAGGAUUAGAUACCCGCGUAGUCCCUGUCUCUUAUAC